UACGUAGGGUGCAAGCGUUGUCCGGAAUUAUUGGGCGUAAAGAGCUCGUAGGCGGUUGGAUAAGUCAGCUGUGAAAACCACGGGCUUAACUCGUGGCCUGCAGUUGAGACUGUCUGGCUUGAGUGUGGGAGAGGAGAGUGGAAUUCCUGGUGUAGCGGUGAAAUGCGUAGAUAUCGGGAGGAACACCGGUGGCGAAGGCGGCUCUCUGGACCACAACUGACGCUGAGGCGCGAAAGCUAGGGGAGCAAACAGG
rnacentral:rRNA from 1 species